GAUGAACGCUGGCGGCGUGCUUAACACAUGCAAGUCGAACGAAGCACUCUAUUUGAUUUUCUUCGGAAAUGAAGAUUUUGUGACUGAGUGGCGGACGGGUGAGUAACGCGUGGGUAACCUGCCUCAUACAGGGGGAUAACAGUUGGAAACGACUGCUAAUACCGCAUAAGCGCACAGGAUCGCAUGAUCCGGUGUGAAAAACUCUGGUGGUAUGAGAUGGACCCGCGUCUGAUUAGCCAGUUGGCAGGGUAACGGCCUACCAAAGCGACGAUCAGUAGCCGACCUGAGAGGGUGACCGGCCACAUUGGGACUGAGACACGGCCCAAACUCCUACGGGAGGCAGCAGUGGGGAAUAUUGCACAAUGGGGGAAACCCUGAUGCAGCGACGCCGCGUGAGCGAAGAAGUAUUUCGGUAUGUAAAGCUCUAUCAGCAGGGAAGAAUUCAUGACGGU
rnacentral:rRNA from 1 species